rnacentral:lncRNA from 1 species
UUUCGAGACACACUCUUGGGCUCCCAUAGCCACACUUCAUACUUCAUGUUUUUAAACUUUUCUCUCCUAGGGUUUCAUGUAUGAACAUGCUUUAUGGAGAGCUUGCUUGGUGUUUCGGUUUUGGGCUAUUUUAAUGAGCAAAGUUGUAGAUUUUCUUCUUCUCUUAACUUACUCUUGGUUGUCUUAGCUUAUUGGUGGUGAAAAACCAUUCAUUUCUACUCCCAUUUGCUUGUUCUUGAUGUUUGAAGCUUGAGCUUUGGAGCUUGUCUUUGGAUUUCCAUGGUGGAUGUCGGGUUUGAGUAACUUUAUAUUUCGUUUUCCUCUUCCAUUGCUGCAGUUGCUCACGUUUUUCUUUGCAUUUUAUUUGGUUGGAUGAUAAAAAUGGAGUUCUAUGUGAGUUUUGAGUUGAAGCGAGCUUAAGUUGAUGUGUGGGUGUUGUGAUUUGAACUCUUUUCUUGCAUUUUUCGGUUUUGAUGAUUGAAACAAGGAUGGGAUCAAAUUUUGGUGUUGUUAUGGUGGCUGGACAGAGCUUGAAUUGAUUGCUUAAGUAUUAUUUUCGUUUUUGCAAAGAAGCUUGAAGAAAUGGAAGAUUUGGUUGGGUUGAAGUAGCAUAUGUUUGAGUUUAUUGUUCUUGUGUUGAUUUGGAAUUUGAACUUUGGUCUCUUGGGUUUAUGUUUCUAUAGUAGGGAUGAAGAAAACAUGAAUGGUGUGUUGGUGGAGAANGAAAACCGAAAAUGGAGGUGAAAGGAGGAGAGAAGGUGCAUUUAAGUUUUUGCCAUUUUUGGACAAACACAUAUGAUGCUUCUUUUGACCAAAAGAAUGUUUCUACUUUGAGUUUUUGUCUUUUCCUUGCAUUGUUGCUGCCAUGAAUUGCAUGAGGAAUGGAGAGUUUUUGUAGUUGUUUUCAUUUGGUUUAGCUUACUUGGCACAUUGGUAGGAGCACCCAAGGUAUCUUCCAUUUGCACAUUGGUCUUUGAAGCAAUUUUUUGUAGAAUUCACUUGGUGGGUUCGAUUUUUGGUGGUCUUGGAGUGUGGAUUCCAAAUUUUCUGCUUGGAGAAGUGAUGGAAAGGUUUUAAAUUGGUUGUUUAAAACAUAUUUUAAUUUCUUUUGAGACAUGGUGCACAUGAGGACUAAAAGACAACAAAAUUGGUGGUUCAUUGAAGCUUAAAAAUUGAUUUGGUCUUGGUGGUGAGUAGUGCACGGCCAUGAGGUUUUUCUUUGGCCAAUUGGACUUUUUAAUUUAUUUGUUAAUUGCACUUUGGUUCACAUAAAUUACUAGAAGUUAAAUAGGCUUCUUAGUUUCUUUUGUUUUCACUUAGUUUAAUUAGUAUGUUGAGUUGUUUUUCAUCCACUUAAUUUAGUUUUGCAUUUUAAUGGCUUUAAUUGUGUUUGGAUAUUUAUCUAUUGCAGUGUUCAAUUUACUUUUUUCGUUCACUAUGUUGUCUAUUUUGUUUGGUUUCUUUACCUUCUUGCAUUUCCAUUUUCCUCACUUGGUUUAGAGAUAGUUUGGUCUCAAUGUAGAAUCGUUCGGUCAUCUGUGGGACCGUUCGGUCUUCAUGCUUUGUCCAUUUAUUUCAAUGUUUUCAAGUAUGUUUGGUUGCUAUUAAUUUUCAGUUUUAAUUUAAUUUAAUUUUCCUUGCAAAAACCUUUCACAACCCCCCCACCAAUUCGUGUUAGACCUAAGACUCGAAUCACAUUUGGUCCUUGAGAGACGACCUAGGAGUCUCUUCCUAGCUAUACUGCAUUUCUUAUAUGCAAUCAAAUUUGUAUGGGUUGCGACACCUAUCAACGACCCC